UCCUGUUUACAGUGGGCUGGAGCAGUCACAGAAUUGUCAGGGCUACUUUCUGUCUCGGUGUGAUUGGAAAUAAGACUGAAAACGAUACCUUAGCAAGAAGAUGUGCAUAAGCCCCUAAAGUUAGGUUUUCAAGAGACAAAAGAAACACAAACAAGAAACAUGGGUACUCACCAUGUUCUUAUAACACCAGCUAAGAGGGUUUUGACGUAUGCUGAGAUCAGAGAGCAAGAUGCAUGCUGCAUCACGGGACCAAGGAUCUUAUGAGGAUAUUUAGUAUCUAUAAUAUACCAUCUGUAUGUGAUUUAAGUCACUCUCAAAGGUGCAACCCUUUUGCUUACUUAUUCUGUGUUUUUUAUUGAAAGGCUGACUUGUAUGUGCAAGCAUCAGUUUGUGGACUCAGUGAUGACUUAAGGACUAUUGCCUAGAGAUUUCUAAGGGGUUUUUGCAGUCUGU